rnacentral:rRNA from 1 species
AUGGAACUAUCUAAAAGCGUCUCUAGAAGAGACAAGACAAUCCAGUUAAUAAGGCAAGAUUCUAGGCCGCUAACCAUGAUGAAUAGGAUAUCAUGCAGAAGUGACGACAUAGAUAAUUUAGAAGAGGUUAUAGACAUGGAACGCGAAUUAGAAAGAUAUCAGAGAGAUACGUUAAGAAAAAUAAGACCGCAACAUGUAUAUCACAUGGGCAUAUUUGAAAGUAAAAGCGGAUUAUACAGAAUAUCUAGAGAAGUAGAAUUAAGUGUGUUAGUGCAUCCGGUGGAUUUAAGAAUUGUUAGCAAAAAUAUUGAGAAUGAACUUACAUAUUCAGGUUACAAAUAUAUUCACCAAGGGAUGUAUAUUAUAGGAGUAAAAGAAAUGACAAGAUAG